GACCGGCAUCCGGAAUGGUUUCAAGGUCGUGCCAGCUACGCUCUGACCAAAGAAGAGAAGGUCAUCUUUUUUGAAUGCCUGAGCAGUAUGAAGGUCCCGUCUGGAUUCUCGUCCAAUAUAAAGGGAAUAAUAAACAUGGCGGAGAAAAAGUUCCAAAACCUAAAGUCUCAAGACUGCCACGUGAUUAUGACGCAAUUGCUUCCGAUUGCUUUGAGGGGGCUCCUGCCGGAAAAUGUUCGAGUAGCCAUUGUGAAGCUAUGUGCAUUCCUCAAUGCAAUCUCUCAGAAGGUAAUCAAUCCAGAAGUUCUACCACGGUUACAGAACGAUGUGAUCCAAUGCCUUGUCAGUUUCGAGUUGGUUGGGUUAAAGGUGGACGAGCAAUACGGAAUGACAAUGGUGGAUUUCAACAAUCUUGGUUACCUUGACGAACCAUUCGUCCUUGCCAAAGAUGUCGCUCAGGUUUUU
rnacentral:rRNA from 1 species